GCGUGCAGCAGCUUGCCCGCGAGCAUGGCGACCUCCUGCUGCCGCAUCUGUGGACCGGCAUCACCAAGGUCCGCCCCGGCGCCGGCAUCGCCGUGGUCGGCAAUCCGUCCAGUGCGCCGACACGCUGCAGCAAUUCAUCGAUGCCGGCUGCCAUUCCUUCUGCCUGUCCGGCUAUCUGCACGACGAAGAGGCCGAACGCUUCGGCCGUCUGAUCCGGCCCAUUCUGGCCGAGAACAAUCGCGGCCGAUGGGCGGCGUAAAGCAGAGGCGGAUGCGGCGGCCAUGCUGCAGUGCAUCCGUCGGGGCUGUUUGACGCCGGGCGUAUUGCUGCGGUGCGCUCGGCCGCGGCCUUGAUAUCGCUCGCGGUGGUGUGGGCCCGGCGCUAAGGUUGGGCCCGAAAAUUCAACUGGGUACCGCCAAAUGAGUGGAUCGAGCUCGGUACUUGCGUGGAGCUCCGCCUUGGAGGACUUCGCGCUGUUUCGAACGCUCAGUUCCGAACAGCGGCUAAAGACGCUCAACGCCAUGGUCCGCCAGGAUCUGGUGCGCGGGCAAAUGCUGGUCGCGCAAGGCGGGCCCCUCGGAUUCGCUUUUCCUGGUGCUGCAUGGUGCGCUCGCGGUGCGCAAGACCGGCUAUCUCGAGCCGAUCGCCGAGCUUCGGGCCGGCGAACUGGUGGCGAGAUCGGCUUCUUCGCCGAUGUCCCGCGCACGGCGGACGUGAUCGCCAUCCGCGACACCAGCGUGCUGGCAUUGACGCGUCCGGCCUACCAGAAGCUCGUCGAGGAAGCCCCCGCCAUCGUCGAGGCGCUGCUCGCAGCGCUGGCGCGGCGGUUCGCCAAGGAGACCGCGCGCAUCGCGCCGUUCCGCACCUCGCCGAAGGCGCGCACCGUAGCGCUGAUCGAUGGCGGAUUGGAGCCGGUGCCGGGCGCUUUCGAUCGCCGGAUGCGCGAGGGGCUCGCCGCGAUCGAUGCCGAGAUUAUCGACGCUGCCCGCCUCCAGG
rnacentral:misc_RNA from 1 species